rnacentral:rRNA from 1 species
GACGAACGCUGGCGGCGUGCUUAACACAUGCAAGUCGAACGGUGAACGAGGGAGCUUGCUCCCUCCGGAUCAGUGGCGAACGGGUGAGUAACACGUGAGCAAGCUGCCCCGAACUCUGGGAUAAGCGUGGGAAACGACUUCUAAUACCGGAUACGACGCGGUAGGGCAGCCUCUCCGCGUGGAAAGAACUUCGGUUCGGUAUGAGCUCGCGGCCUAUCAGCUUGUUGGGGAGGGACCGGCUCACCAAGGCGACGACGGGCAGCCGGCCUGAGAGGGUGACCCGCCCCACUGGGCCUGAGACACGGCCCAGACUCCUACGGGAGGCAGGAGUGGAGACCUUUGCACACUGGGCGCCAGCCUGAUGCAGCACCGCCGCGUGGGGGACGACGGCCUUCGGGUUGUAAACCUCUUUUAGCAGGGAAGAAGCGAAAGUGACGGUACCUGCAGAAAAAGCACCGGCUACCUCCGU